UCCUCCUUAGCUCAGUCGGUAGAGCAUGCGGCUGUUAAUCGCAGAGUCGUUGGUUCGAGUCCAACAGGGGGAGCCA
rnacentral:tRNA from 1 species